ACUUCCGGGUGUAACUGGUUGUGCUGUCUGUGCACUUCUGGCAGCCUCCAGACGGUUUCUUCCGCUUCCGGUACCACCCGGCUCAAGUAGCGGACACGGAACCGGGGACUAUCAGCCCAUUGGCCUCCGGGCCUUGCAGUCUCUAGCCAUGGAUCGGGACCUUCUGCGGCAGUCGCUAAAUUGCCACGGGUCGUCUUUGCUCUCUCUACUUCGGAGCGAACAGCAGGACAAUCCACACUUCCGGAGCCUCCUGGGGUCGGCCGCCGAGCCAGCCCGGGGCCCGCCGCCCCAGCAGCCGUUGCAGGGCAGAAAAGAGAAGAGAGUUGACAACAUCGAGAUACAGAAAUUCAUCUCCAAAAAAGCGGAUCUGCUUUUUGCACUUUCCUGGAAAUCAGAUGCACCUGCAACUUCUGAAAUUAAUGAAGACAGUGAAGAUCAUUAUGCAGUCAUGCCACCUUUAGAGCAAUUCAUGGAGAUACCUAGUAUGGAUCGGAGAGAGCUGUUUUUCCGAGAUAUUGAGCGUGGUGAUAUAGUGAUUGGAAGAAUUAGUUCUAUUCGGGAAUUCGGUUUUUUCAUGGUGUUGAUCUGUUUAGGAAGUGGUAUCAUGAGAGAUAUAGCCCACUUAGAAAUCACAGCUCUUUGUCCCUUAAGAGAUGUGCCUUCUCACAGUAAUCAUGGGGAUCCUUUAUCAUAUUACCAAACUGGUGACAUCAUUCGAGCUGGAAUCAAGGAUAUUGACAGAUACCAUGAAAAGCUAGCAGUAUCUCUGUAUAGCUCUUCUCUUCCACCACACCUAUCUGGUAUUAAAUUAGGUGUAAUUAGCCCUGAAGAGCUUCCUUUAUACUACAGGAGAAGUGUUGAACUAAAUAGCAAUUCUUUGGAGUCCUAUGAAAAUAUCAUGCAGAGUUCCUUGGGAUUUGUUAAUCCAGGAGUAGUCGAAUUCCUUCUAGAAAAACUAGGAAUAGAUGAAUCUAAUCCACCAUCUUUAAUGAGAGGCCUACAAAGCAAAAAUUUCUCUGAAGAUGAUUUUGCUUCUGCAUUGAGAAAAAAACAAUCUGCGUCUUGGGCUUUAAAAUGUGUGAAGAUCGGAGUUGACUAUUUUAAAGUUGGACGCCAUGUAGAUGCUAUGAAUGAAUACAGUAAAGCUUUGGAAAUAGACAAACAAAACGUGGAAGCGUUGGUAGCUCGUGGAGCAUUAUAUGCGACAAAAGGAAGUUUGAACAAAGCAAUAGAAGAUUUUGAGCUUGCAUUAGAAAACUGUCCAACUCACAGAAAUGCAAGAAAAUACCUCUGCCAGACACUUGUAGAGAGAGGAGGACAGUUAGAAGAAGAAGAAAAGUUUUUAAAUGCUGAAAGUUACUAUAAGAAAGCUUUGGCUUUGGAUGAGACUUUUAAAGAUGCAGAUGAUGCUUUGCAGAAACUUCAUAAAUAUAUGCAGGUGAUUCCUUAUUUCCUCUUAGAAAUUUAGUGAUAUUUGAAAUAAUGCCCAAACUUAAUUUUCUCCUAAGGAAAACUAUUCUAGAUUACUUAAGUAAGGCAUUAUGAAAAGUUUCUUUUUAGGUAUAGUUUUUCCUAAUUGGGUUUGACAUUGCUUUGUAGUGCCUCUGUUUUUGUCCAUAAUCGAAAGUAAAAAUAGCUAUGAGAAAACUAUUACCUAAAUUUGGUAUGUUGUUUUGAGAAAUGUCCUUAUAGGGAGCUUACCUGGUGGUUUUUAAAUUAUUGUUGCUACUAUAAUUGAACUAAUUAUAAAAACCUUUUUGAGACAUAUUUUAAAUUGUCUUUUCCUGUAAUACUGAUGAUGAUGUUUUCUCAUGCAUUUUCUUCUGAAUUGGACCAUUGCUGCUGUGUCUGUGACAUCUGGUGCUGCUCAUCCCCAUCCACAAACUGGAAAAUGAUUUCCUAUGUAAUCAUGCAUCCAACUGGGCUGUGCUAUUUUUUUAAAUGAAAUCUUUGGAAUUAAGAGAAAAACAAGCUGAAAAGGAAGAAAAGCAGAAAACAAAGAAAAUAGAAACAAGUGCAGAAAAGUUGCGUAAGCUCUUAAAAGAAGAGAAGAGGUAAACUAUAAUAUUCAGUAUUUUUAAACUUAAGGCAACUACUGAAUUGAACCCAAAGUGCCAUACUGGAGGUAAAGUAAAUAAAAAUAUGAAAGUAUUUCAAGUGAUAAUCAAUGACUGUUAAGAAUCUUUAGCAAAUAUGUGUUCCAUGUAUUUUCUUAUUAAAGAGAUGAAGUGGAAUUUAAGGCUAAAAUUCUACAAAAAAAAAAAUCUUAGAAUUAAAAUACAGAAUAAGUUACUUCAAUUAUAUUUUAGGAAGAAAUGUUUUAGAACUAGAGCAGUGGUUCUCAACUAGGGGUGGAUUUAUUCACCUGGGGACAUUUGACAAGAUCUGGAGACAUUUUUGAUUGCCAUAACUGAUAGGGUGCUACUGCAUCUAGUGUAUAAUGGUCAGGGAUGCUCUUAAACAUUCUGUAAUGCACAGGUCAGCUUCCACCCCCACCCCCAACAAAGAAUUAUUUGGCUGAAAAUACCAGUAAUCAGAUGAAGAAGAGGUAGCCAAAUAAAAAAUUUGAGUUCUCCUUUAUGUGUUCAGUAGUCUUAAGUUUUUAAGGUAGUGUUGAAAAAAGUUUGUCUUUCAGAAAUGAUGGAUUUGCUUACAAUGAUACCUGUCUGCAAGCAUUUUUUCCCCCAAAAGUGCUUAAUAGUAAAAUUAGAUCUUGUAGUAGCUGAGAUUAUUGUAUCAUUUAUCUGAACCACAGCUUUUAUAAAAUCUUUAAAGGAAACAAAUAGGGCCCACAUCUUUAUGAAUAACUUAGAAACAUUUUUGUACAUACAUGACAAAUGAACUGUUUUUUUUAGGCUAAAGAAGAAAAGAAGAAAAUCAACUUCUUCUUCAAGUGUUUCUUCUGCUGAUGAAUCAAUGUCUUCAUCAUCCUCUUCCUCUUCUGGUCACAAAAGGCAUAAGAAACAUAAGAGGAACCGUUCAGAGUCUUCUCACAGUUCCAGAAGGCAUUCAUCUAGGGCAUCCUCAAAUCAGAUAGAUCAGAAUAGGAAAGAUGAGUGCUACCCAGUUCCAGCUAAUACUUCAGCAUCUUUUCUUAACCAUAAACAAGAAGUGGAGAAACUACUGGGGAAGCAGGAUAGGUUACAGUAUGAAAAGACACAGAUAAAAGACAAAGAUAGAUGCCCUCUCUCUUCAUCUUCACUUGAAAUACCGGAUGAUUUUGGAGGUAGGUCUGAAGAUCCAAGAGAUUUUUAUAAUAGCUACAAAACCCAAGCAGGUAGUAGCAAAACAGAAAAGCCAUAUAAAUCAGAAAGACAUUUUUCCAGUAGAAGAAAUUCCUCAGAUUCCUUCUGUAGGAAUUCAGAGGACAAGAUUUAUGGUUAUAGGAGAUUUGAAAAGGAUAUAGAGGGAAGAAAAGAGCACUGUAGAAGGUGGGAACCGGGUUCUGUGAGGCAUUCUACCUCACCAGCAAGCUCAGAAUACUCUUGGAAGUCAGUUGAGAAAUACAAAAAAUAUGCUCACUCUGGAUCACGUGAUUUCAGUAGACAUGAGCAAAGAUACCGUUUAAAUACAAAUCAAGGAGAAUAUGAAAGAGAGGACAAUUAUGGGGAGGAUAUCAAAACAGAGGUUCCAGAAGAAGAUGCGCUAAGUAGCAAAGAACACUCAGAAAGCAGUGUUAAGAAAAAUUUACCUCAGAAUUUACUGAAUAUAUUUAAUCAGAUAGCUGAAUUUGAAAAAGAAAAAGGAAAUAAGUCAAAAAAUUAAUACACCAAGGCUAUCGGCACUAUUACACAAAAUGCCAUUUAGUGCAGUUUUUGGUUGUAUUAGUCAUAACAGUUCAGUGCAGAAAUCUCUGCUCCUAAAAUUAUUUGUAGAGAUUACAGGAAACAAAUGCUUUUAAGUUUUUCUCAAAUUUUGUUUCAGUUGUAGGUCCCUUGUCAUAGCUUGGUUUUUAGACUUUAUGAGUUUAUGUACAGUAUAUUACUCUGACAGUUUGAAUUUCUUCACCUAAAGAUAAUUCUCUGAAAGUACUGUUUCUUCAUUCUAUUGCGGUAUAUGAGAAUUCCUGGGUGCAUCUUAUUCUGCUGUUUGAGAGAAAAAUUUGUGCAUUGAACACUUGAAUCAUUUUUAUAAAAAUUGAUUUCAUUUUCUUUUCUGUUAAAUUAAAAAUCGUCAGCUUUUGAAAGAUUA